rnacentral:misc_RNA from 1 species
GAUGAAGAACGUAGCGAAAUGCGAUAAGUAAUGCGAAUUGCAGAAUUCAGUGAGUCAUCGAAUCUUUGAACGCACAUUGCGCCCGCCAGUAUUCUGGCGGGCAUGCCUGUCUGAGCGUCAUUUCAACCCUCAUGCCCCUAGGGCGUGGUGUUGGGGAUCGGCCAAAGCCCGCGAGGGACGGCCGGCCCCUAAAUCUAGUGGCGGACCCGUCGUGGCCUCCUCUGCGAAGUAGUGAUAUUCCGCAUCGGAGAGCGAUGAGCCCCUGCCGUUAAACCCCCAACUUUCCAAGGUUGACCUCAGAUCAGGUAGGAAUACCCGCUGAACUUAAGCAUAUCAAUAAGCGGAGGA